rnacentral:rRNA from 1 species
AUUGAACGCUGGCGGCAGGCCUAACACAUGCAAGUCGAACGAGUGGCGGACGGGUGAGUAAUGUCUGGGGAACUGCCUGAUGGAGGGGGAUAACUACUGGAAACGGUAGCUAAUACCGCAUACUAUCAGAUGUGCCCAGAUGGGAUUAGCUAGUUGGUGGGGUAACGGCUCACCAAGGCGACGAUCCCUAGCUGGUCUGAGAGGAUGACCAGCCACACUGGAACUGAGACACGGCCCAGACUCCUACGGGAGGCAGCAGUGGGGAAUAUUGCACAAUGGGCGAAAGCCUGAUGCAGCCAUGCCGCGGGUAUGAAGAAGGCCUUAGGGUUGUAAAGUACUUUCAGCGGGGAGGCGUUACCCGCAGAAGAAGCACCGGCUAACUCCGUGCCAGCAGCCGCGGUAAUAC